AGAGUUUGAUCCUGGCUCAGAUUGAACGCUGGCGGCAUGCCUUACACAUGCAAGUCGAACGGCAGCACGGAGCUUGCUCUGGUGGCGAGUGGCGAACGGGUGAGUAAUAUAUCGGAACGUACCCUAGAGUGGGGGAUAACGUAGCGAAAGUUACGCUAAUACCGCAUACGAUCUACGGAUGAAAGUGGGGGAUCGCAAGACCUCAUGCUCAUGGAGCGGCCGAUAUCUGAUUAGCUAGUUGGUAGGGUAAAAGCCUACCAAGGCAUCGAUCAGUAGCUGGUCUGAGAGGACGACCAGCCACACUGGAACUGAGACACGGUCCAGACUCCUACGGGAGGCAGCAGUGGGGAAUUUUGGACAAUGGGCGAAAGCCUGAUCCAGCAAUGCCGCGUGAGUGAAGAAGGCCUUCGGGUUGUAAAGCUCUUUUGUCAGGGAAGAAACGGUUGUCCCUAAUACAGAUGGCUAAUGACGGUACCUGAAGAAUAAGCACCGGCUAACUACGUGCCAGCAGCCGC
rnacentral:rRNA from 1 species